rnacentral:sRNA from 1 species
CCCCCAAAACAUGCACACAUGAAAAGGGCAAAAAGUAACCGUCCUUGACAGGGAGUCUUAACUAGAGAAGGAAACGGGACUAAACUGGCGGGCUCCGUGGAAGCGUGGCCGGCAGCGUCCCGGACGAGGAGCUACCUGAAAACUUUUGUUCCUAUGCAUAAAGAUGUCUUUGGUGGACUUGGGAAAGAGGUUGCUAGAAGCAGCAAGAAAAGGCCAAGAUGAUGAAGUGAGAACGUUGAUGGCAAAUGGCGCCCCAUUCACCACAGACUGGUUUUCCAAAUUGAGAGUCUCCUGUGGAUAUAUAGGUGAUAAUUGUAAGCUUGGAACAUCACCCCUCCACCUUGCAGCUCAAUAUGGUCAUUAUUCCACAGCAGAAGUACUCCUUCGAGCAGGUGUUAGCAGGGAUGCCCGGACUAAAGUAGACAGGACCCCCUUGCACAUGGCUGCAGCCGAUGGACAUGCGCACAUCGUGGAACUGCUUGUUCGGAAUGGUGCAGAUGUGAAUGCCAAGGACAUGCUGAAGAUGACAGCUUUGCAUUGGGCCACAGAGCGUCACCAUCGAGAUGUUGUAGAGUUACUUAUCAAAUAUGGAGCUGAUGUCCAUGCUUUCAGCAAAUUUGAUAAAUCAGCCUUUGACAUAGCUCUGGAGAAAAACAAUGCUGAGAUUUUGGUCAUCCUCCAGGAAGCAAUGCAGAAUCAGGUGAAUGUUAAUCCAGAGAGAGCCAACCCUGUGACUGACCCUGUGAGUAUGGCUGCUCCAUUCAUCUUCACGUCAGGUGAGGUUGUUAACCUCGCAAGCCUUAUUUCUUCAACCAACACCAAAACAACCUCAG